rnacentral:lncRNA from 1 species
UUUCUUGGUCUGCUUUUUAUCUUUCCAAUUUUCGUUUCCCUGUUUGGCUUUAAAAGAAUGACCUUUCUUGGUACCAGAACUCUGGCCGUGCUUUAGGACAUUGGCCUUCUCAGAGUAAGAAUUCCCUGACUUACGUUCAGCCCGUUUGUUAUCCUCCUCAAUGCGCAGCUUGAUAAUUAAAUCCUCGAAAGACAUCUCUUUUCUCUUAUGCUGCAAAUAGCUUUUGAAAGCCUUCCACUGAGGAGGUAGCUUGUGAAUAGCAGUAGCCAC